rnacentral:rRNA from 1 species
UGGGGAAUAUUGCACAAUGGGCGCAAGCCUGAUGCAGCAACGCCGCGUGUGGGAUGAAGGCCUUCGGGUCGUAAACCACUUUCGCCAGGGACGAAGCGCAAGUGACGGUACCUGGUAAAGAAGCACCGGCUAACUACGUGCCAGCAGCCGCGGUGAUACGUAGGGUGCGAGCGUUGUCCGGAAUUAUUGGGCGUAAAGAGCUUGUAGGCGGUUUGUCACGUCGGGAGUGAAAACUCAGGGCUUAACCCUGAGCCUGCUUUCGAUACGGGCUGACUAGAGGAAGGUAGGGGAGAAUGGAAUUCCCGGUGGAGCGGUGGAAUGCGCAGAUAUCGGGAGGAACACCAGUGGCGAAGGCGGUUCUCUGGACCUUUCCUGACGCUGAGAAGCGAAAGCGUGGGGAGCAAACAGGCUUAGAUACCCUGGUAGUCCACGCUGUAAACGGUGGGUACUAGGUGUGGGGCAUAUUCAACGUGCUCUGUGCCGUAGCUAACGCAUUAAGUACCCCGCCU